CCUAACACAUGCAAGUCGAACGGUAACAGGAAGAAGCUUGCUUCUUUGCUGACGAGUGGCGGACGGGUGAGUAAUGUCUGGGAAGCUGCCUGAUGGAGGGGGAUAACUACUGGAAACGGUAGCUAAUACCGCAUAAUGUCGCAAGACCAAAGAGGGGGACCUUCGGGCCUCUUGCCAUCGGAUGUGCCCAGAUGGGAUUAGCUUGUUGGUGGGGUAACGGCUCACCAAGGCGACGAUCCCUAGCUGGUCUGAGAGGAUGACCAGCCACACUGGAACUGAGACACGGUCCAGACUCCUACGGGAGGCAGUAGUGGGGAAUAUUGCACAAUGGGCGCAAGCCUGAUGCAGCCAUGCCGCGUGUAUGAAGAAGGCCUUCGGGUUGUAAAGUACUUUCAGCGGGGAGGAAGGGAGUAAAGUUAAUACCUUUGCUCAUUGACGUUACCCGCAGAAGAA
rnacentral:rRNA from 1 species